rnacentral:rRNA from 1 species
GACGAGGGAUCCUAGCGUUGUUCGGAAUCAUUGGGCGUAAAGGGUGCGUAGGUGGCUAUGUAAGUCAGUUGUGAAAUCCCCGGGCUCAACCCGGGAAGUGCUUCUGAUACUGCGUAGCUUGAAUAUUGGAGAGGUGAGUGGAAUUCCAGGUGUAGUGGUGAAAUACGUAGAUAUCUGGAGGAACACCGGCGGCGAAGGCGGCUCACUGGCCAUAUAUUGGCACUGAAGCACGAAAGCGUGGGGAGCAAACAGG